GAACCAAUAAGCGGAGAGGUUGCUGGGGCAGCCGGCGUGGGCGGCGUCACUGAGCCGCGCCAGCUGAGCCAGGUGGAGCCUUACCGUCUUUUGCUUUCUGCCUGUGACUAGCGCCGUCCCCCACCGCCGGUCGACCCCGCUUCCAUGUCCCUGGCGGACACAGCUCCCCGGAACCUCCACGCCCAUGGCCACUAGGCAGAGGGAGUCCUCUAUUACCUCCUGCUCUUCCGCCUCGAGCUGCGACGCGGACGACGAGGGCGUGCGCGGCACCUGCGAAGAUGCUUCCCUGUGCAAGAGGUUUGCAGUAAGCAUUGGCUACUGGCACGACCCUUACAUCCAGCACUUUGUGAGACUGUCUAAAGAGAGGAAAGCCCCCGAAAUCAACAGAGGAUAUUUUGCUCGAGUCCAUGGUGUCAGUCAGCUUAUAAAGGCGUUUCUACGGAAGACAGAAUGUCAUUGUCAAAUCAUCAACCUUGGGGCAGGCAUGGAUACCACCUUCUGGAGAUUAAAGGAUGAAGAUCUUCUCCCAAGUAAAUAUUUUGAGGUUGACUUUCCAAUGAUCGUCACAAGAAAGCUGCACAGUAUCAAAUGCAAGCCUCCCCUAUCCAGCCCCAUUCUAGAACUGCAUUCAGAGGACACACUUCAGAUGGAUGGACACAUACUGGAUUCAAAGAGAUAUGCCGUUAUUGGAGCCGAUCUCCGAGACCUGUCUGAACUGGAAGAGAAACUAAAGAAAUGUAACAUGAAUACACAAUUGCCAACACUCCUGAUAGCUGAAUGUGUGCUGGUUUACAUGACUCCAGAGCAGUCUGCAAACCUCCUGAAGUGGGCAGCCAGCAGUUUUGAGGCAGCCAUGUUCAUAAACUACGAACAGGUGAACAUGGGUGAUCGGUUUGGGCAGAUCAUGAUUGAAAACCUGCGGAGACGCCAGUGUGACCUGGCGGGAGUGGAGACUUGCAAGUCAUUAGAGUCACAGAAAGAACGGCUCCUGUCGAAUGGGUGGGAAACAGCAUCGGCCGUCGACAUGAUGGAGUUGUACAACAGGUUACCUCGAGCUGAAGUGAGCAGGAUAGAAUCACUUGAAUUUCUGGAUGAAAUGGAGCUGCUGGAGCAACUCAUGCGGCAUUACUGCCUUUGCUGGGCAACCAAAGGAGGAAAUGAGCUCGGUUCACUGGAUGUGAAAAGCACAGAUCCUUACAUCUUCCUCACGAACCCAGGCAGCUAGCGGCUGGAUUUUCCCUCUUCUUAUUAAGGUGCACAUCCCUGUCUGUGGCCGAGUAGGGCCACGGGGAGCAGGGCUGAAGGAGAUAACUUAUUAAUCUGUUGAAGGCUUAUGCCAAGCCAGAAGCAGAAGCCACUCGCCCUCCUGGAGGAUACCUGCGAGCUCCCUGAGCGGUGGGCGGGCCUCGUCUGCAGGUCUCAUCCCACACCCUGAGAAGCCUCGAUCACUACAGUGGUCGCACAUGUUCCUCUUCCUGUUCCUGUUGACAUGUCGGCGUUUAAAUAAAUCUCACUUGCCACCAGUUUCCUGUGGUUGGAA